GGGCUGGGACUGAGCCCUGCCGGGGCGGGAGGGCGUGUGGCCCCAGGGCUGGCAGCGCCGCUAGCAGGGAGCUGUGCCGCCGGGGCCCUGACAGGCUCUGUGUUCCCAGGGAUUGCCGGGCGGCUCCUGAUGGGGCAGAAGAAAGAGCUGCAGCUCAUUUACCAAUCCCUUGAAGACACGAUGGAUGACAGCAGCCUGGAGGUCGGAAGCCUGGCAGUUCAGACGUUGUGCCUGCUGAGGGCAGGAGACCCCGCUCCGAUCUCCACAUUCCAGAGGCUGCGAGAUCAGCUCCGCAGGGCAUGGAGGUCACGGCCUCGUCUAUCGGACCUCAGCUGGCUGUGCUGCUGGAGGUCUGCAGAGAGCUGAUCUGUCUGCUGGGGCCACAUGAGCAGGCAAAGAUUUCCCUUUUUUUCAAGAUUGUUCUUUUCUUCUUUUUGUUUUUCUUUAGUAUAUAAAUAUAGGAUAUGUUAUGUUA